rnacentral:rRNA from 1 species
AAACCAACAGGGAUUGCCUUAGUAACGGCGAGUGAAGCGGCAAGAGCUCAAAUUUGAAAUCUGGCGUCUUUGGCGUCCGAGUUGUAAUUUGUAGAGGUAUCUUUGGAGGCGGCCCUUGCAUAUGUUCCUUGGAACAGGACAUCAUAGAGGGUGAGAAUCCCGUACAUGGUGGGGUGCCCGUCUCUUUGUAAAGUGCCUUCGACGAGUCGAGUUGUUUGGGAAUGCAGCUCUAAGUGGGUGGUAAAUUCCAUCUAAAGCUAAAUAUUGGCGAGAGACCGAUAGCGAACAAGUACAGUGAUGGAAAGAUGAAAAGAACUUUGAAAAGAGAGUGAAAAAGUACGUGAAAUUGUUGAAAGGGAAGCGUUUGAGACCAGACACGGUAGUUUGAUGAUCGGGGUUCUUCGUGGACCCUGCUAUCGCUUUCUACUGGCCAACAUUGGUUUGGAUGGCGGGAUAAUGGCAUAGGAAUGUGGCUCUUCGGAGUGUUAUAGCCUGUGUUGAUACCGCCCGUCUGGACUGAGGUUCUUCAUUGAACGUUGGCGUAAUGGUCUUAAGCGGC